rnacentral:lncRNA from 1 species
ACCCAGUCAGUGCCCUUCAGUUAAAGACCACCAGGAGCACACUUCAUUGCUGUUGGAAAGGCUGAUGCCAAUCAAAACCAAUUUUUCCCUAAAGGAUGAUCUGUCUUCUCAUCAUUUUGACAGGAUGUAACAAAACAAAGGAGUCUUCAAUGUUGCUGGAGUGCAGUGGCAUGACCAUGGCUCACUACAGUCUUGAACUUUCAUGCUCAAGCUAUCCUCUGACCUUAGCCUCCUGAGUAGCUGGAACUACA